GGGGAUGUAGCUCAGUGGUAGAGCGCAUUUUUUUCAUGUUUGAGGGCCUGGGUUCAAUCCCCAGCGUUUCCA